rnacentral:rRNA from 1 species
UCUAGCCAUGCCGCGUGAGUGACGAAGGCCUUAGGGUCGUAAAGCUCUUUCGCCAGAGAUGAUAAUGACAGUAUCUGGUAAAGAAACCCCGGCUAACUCCGUGCCAGCAGCCGCGGUAAUACGGAGGGGGUUAGCGUUGUUCGGAAUUACUGGGCGUAAAGCGUACGUAGGCGGAUUAGAAAGUAGGGGGUGAAAUCCCAGGGCUCAACCCUGGAACUGCCUCCUAAACUACUAGUCUAGAGUUCGAGAGAGGUGAGUGGAAUUCCAAGUGUAGAGGUGAAAUUCGUAGAUAUUUGGAGGAACACCAGUGGCGAAGGCGGCUCACUGGCUCGAUACUGACGCUGAGGUACGAAAGUGUGGGGAGCAAACAGGAUUAGAUACCCUGGUAGUCCACACCGUAAACGAUGAAUGCCAGACGUCGGGGGGCUUGCCCUUCGGUGUCACACCUAACGGAUUAAGCAUUCCGCCUGGGGAGUACGGUCGCAAGAUUAAAACUCAAAUGAAUUGACGGGGGCCCGCACAAGCGGUGGAGCAUGUGGUUUAAUUCGAUGCAACGCGAAGAACCUUACCUACUCUUGACAUCCAGAGAACUUUCCAGAGAUGGAUUGGUGCCUUCGGGAACUCUGAGACAGGUGCUGCAUGGCUGUCGUCAGCUCGUGUUGUGAAAUGUUGGGUUAAGUCCCGCAACGAGCGCAACCCU